rnacentral:rRNA from 1 species
UGCCAGCCGCCGCGGUAAUACGGAGGGGGCUAGCGUUGUUCGGAAUCACUGGGCGUAAAGCGCGCGUAGGCGGUUAGGAAAGUUGGGAGUGAAAGCCCAGGGCUCAACCCUGGAACUGCUCUCAAAACUUCCUGGCUAGAGAAUUAGAGAGGUGGGCGGAAUUCCGAGUGUAGAGGUGAAAUUCGUAGAUAUUCGGAAGAACACCAGUUGCGAAGGCGGCUCACUGGCUAAUUUCUGACGCUGAGGUGCGAAAGCGUGGGGAGCAAACAGGAUUAGAUA